AGCAGCCGCGGUAAUUCCAGCUCCAAUAGCGUAUAUUAAAGUUGUUGCAGUUAAAAAGCUCGUAGUUGAAUUUCGGGAUCAAUACGUUGGUCGUGCCUCGGUACGUACUAGCUUAUUGGUUUCUCCCUUCUGACGAACCAUGAUGUCAUUUAUUUGGUGUUAUGGGAAAUCAGGACUGUUACUUUGAAAAAAUUAGAGUGUUUAAAGCAGGCUCACGCUUGAAUACAUUAGCAUGGAAUAAUGAAAUAGGACGUUUGAUUCUAUUUUGUUGGUUUCUAGGAUCGACGUAAUGAUUAAUAGGGAUAGUUGGGGGCAUUAGUAUUCAAUUGUCAGAGGUGAAAUUCUUGGAUUUAUUGAAGACUAACUACUGUGAAAGCAUUUGCCAAGGAUGUUUUCAUUAAUCAAGAACGAAAGUUAGGGGAUCGAAGACGAUCAGAUACCGUCGUAGUCUUAACCAUAAACUAUGCCGACUAGGGAUCGGAUGAUGUUAAUUUUUUAAUGUACUCAUUCGGCGUCCUUA
rnacentral:misc_RNA from 1 species